UAUGUACGUCCUGCUGUUGGUCCUGGAAGUCGUCAGUGCAGUUCCUGACCUGUCAAAGUUCACUCCAUGGCACAGUCGGAACAGCACAGGUCUGAA